rfam:Cavia porcellus supercont2_5 genomic scaffold, whole genome shotgun sequence.
GGGGAUUUAGCUGCAUGGCAUAAGCUCCUGCCUUGCAAGCAUGAGGUUGUGAGUUCGAUCCCCAUAAUACAUA